CUCCAAUACUUUGCACUUGAUUAUAAAGUGUUCACGAUCUUCAGGUUCAUGCUUACAUAGUUGACAAAUUGGACUCACGGAUUGCCUGCUAAAUUUAGCUCUGUCUUGUUGAAGUGUGUAUGUUCCACAAGCUAGUUUGGAUUUUAUGUUACAACGUUUGACAGCAAAUGGCUCAGCUCCCCCGCUAAACCAAAUGUUAUGAGUUUUUCCAAUAAUUGUAUCCUCAAUAUUAAGUAAUUUUAGAGUUGAUUUUUCUUUUGCGUCAGUUUUUA
rnacentral:lncRNA from 1 species